rnacentral:rRNA from 1 species
UGCCCUAGUAACGGCGAGUGAAGCGGCAAGAGCUCAGAUUUGAAAUCUGGCGCCUUUGGCGUCCGAGUUGUAAUCUGUAGAGGAUGCUAUUGGGUAGCCACCGGUCUAAGUCCCCUGGAACGGGGCGUCGCAGAGGGUGAGAAUCCCGUAUGUGACCGGAAGGGCGCCCUCCACAUAGCUCCUUCGACGAGUCGAGUUGUUUGGGAAUGCAGCUCUAAAUGGGAGGUAAAUUCCUUCUAAAGCUAAAUACCGGCCAGAGACCGAUAGCGCACAAGUAGAGUGAUCGAAAGAUGAAAAGCACUUUGGAAAGAGAGUUAAAAAGCACGUGAAAUUGUUGAAAGGGAAGCGCUUGCAACCAGACUUGUUGGCGGUGUUCCGCCGGUCUUCUGACCGGUGUACUCACCGUCUGCAGGCCAGCAUCAUCUGGGGCCGCCGGAUAAAAGCGGGGGGAAUGUGGCUCCCUCGGGAGUGUUAUAGCCCCUCGUGCAAUACGGCGUGCCUCGGGUGAGGUCCGCGCUUCGGCUAGGAUGCUGGCGUAAUGGUCGUAAGCGGCCCGUCUUGAA